rnacentral:lncRNA from 1 species
AUGAGUUUAACUGUAGGACAGCAACCAUUUGCAGGUGGGGGUAGGCAGUGGGCUGCGGUACAGAAGUCUCUUGGAAUUGGGGGAGCUGAGAGACAGCAGGCCAUGGGGAGCAGGAAAGUGGGGAGGCAGGUAGGGUCGGGGCUGCGAUGGGCAGGGAGCACAGGGGCCGGCGGCUGGUGCGGGGCCGGGGUGAGCGCAGGCCCGGACCUUAGGUGGAGCGCCGGGAGUUUCAGGGCCCGGGGAGGGGCCGCCGGGGGUGCUGCUGAGGGCGGGGCCCCGGGGCCCCCCUCCGCCCCCGCCGACCGCCCACAGGGCAGGUGGGUCCCACCGGCUCGGAGAGUUCUCGGCUGGCGGCGCCCAGGGGCUCGCGGGCUCGCGCGCGGCCUAGGGCCCCCUCCCCGCCUCGCGCCCCCCAAGUUACCUGGGCGCCGAGGCCCGGGCCCGGGGCGCUGGCUCGGCGGGCGGCGGGCGGGGGCCAGGCUCAUGCCCGCGUCACGGCGCGGCCGGCGGGGGCAGCGGGGCGGGGGCAGCGGGGGCAGCGGGGGCAGCGGGCGGCGGCGGCGCCGGCUCCGGGCGGGGAGCGCAACGGAGGCGCGGCCGCGGGGCUGGGCUCCGAGGGGGGUCGGCGGCGAGGCCCCCGCGCCCGGUCCCGCGCCCCGCCCCGCCCCCACCCCGGGGCCCGCCCCCGCCGUAUUUCUUCGAGCCGCGGGACACCGGCUUCCGCCCGGAGUCUCUCCGCCCCCCGCCCCCCGCCCCCCACCUCGCUGGCCCCCCCUGAAGCUCGCCCUCCGCAACCGCCCAGCCCCACCGCCCCUCCCUGGGCCCCAAUCCCCGCCUCCUAUCGCCUCCCAGCCCCUGAAAGCUGAACCCAAAAACAGCUCCCAGCCCCCAAAUCUCAAUUCCCGAUUCCUUCGGAAAUCACGCGCGCACACACCCCUUGCCCUAUCCCCAGUAGGAUUCCCAGGCCCCUUCCAGGCCCAGCCUCCCGAGACCUCCUCAGGGGUCCCCCUACCCUCCACGCACACUUCCCUGGAGCCCCGCAGCACCUCUCCCCCAGAGGUCAGCUCCCCUGGCAGCUUGCCAGCCCCUCCCUCCCUGUACCAGUACCCCCAUUCCCCCAUUUCUCCAAAGGAAAUCAGAGUCUCUGGGAUAGCGCCUAGGUGGUCUCCAUGCCCACUAUUCAGUGCUUUAGACCAACUCUACCAAACAAAAGGCCGCACCUGA